rnacentral:rRNA from 1 species
CCUACGGGAGGCAGCAGUGAGGAAUAUUGGUCAAUGGGCGCGAGCCUGAACCAGCCAAGUCGCGUGAGGGAAGACGGUCCUAUGGAUUGUAAACCUCUUUUGUCGGGGAGCAAAAGACGCCACGCGUGGCGUUCCGAGAGUACCCGAAGAAAAAGCAUAGGCUAACUCCGUGCCAGCAGCCGCGGUAAUACUGAGGAUGCGAGCGUUCGCCGGAUUUAUUGGGUGUAAGGUGUGCGCCGGCAGAAGAUCAAGACAGCGGUAAAAUUGAGAGGCUCAACCUCUUCGAGCCGUUGAAACUGGUUUUCUUGAGUACGCGCGAAGUAGGCGGAAUGCGUGGUGUAGCGGUGAAAUGCA